rnacentral:tRNA from 1 species
GCUUUCGUGGUGUGAUAGGUCAGCACGCUUGGCAUGUAUUCGAGAGAUCCGUGGUUCGAGUCCCGGCGAGGGCA